rnacentral:rRNA from 1 species
GACGAACGCUGGCGGCGUGCUUAACACAUGCAAGUCGAACGGAAAGGCCCUGCUUUUGUGGGGUGCUCGAGUGGCGAACGGGUGAGUAACACGUGAGUAACCUGCCCUUGUCUUUGGGAUAACUUCAGGAAACUGGGGCUAAUACCGGAUAGGAGCUCCUGCUGCAUGGUGGGGGUUGGAAAGUUUCGGCGGUUGGGGAUGGACUCGCGGCUUAUCAGCUUGUUGGUGGGGUAGUGGCUUACCAAGGCUUUGACGGGUAGCCGGCCUGAGAGGGUGACCGGCCACAUUGGGACUGAGAUACGGCCCAGACUCCUACGGGAGGCAGCAGUGGGGAAUAUUGCACAAUGGGCGGAAGCCUGAUGCAGCAACGCCGCGUGCGGGAUGACGGCUUUCGGGUUGUAAACCGCUUUCGCCUGUGACGAAGCGUGAGUGACGGUAAUGGGUAAAGAAGCACCGGCUAACUACGUG